GGGCCGUUAGCUCAGCUGGUAGAGCAGUUGGCUUUUAACCAAUUGGUCGCUGGUUCGAAUCCAGCACGGCCCA
rnacentral:tRNA from 1 species